GAGGAGAGAGAGCGUGUCCGCUGCCCAAUGACAGCGCAGGAUGCUGAGGGAGGCUGCUCGGGUUGAAUGGAGGCGACAAGAUGCCGUCCAGAGCGCUGAAGGAGAGGAAUUAACAUCGAUAAAGAUCUGACUUUGAUGUGCUCCACCUGCUAAGGCAUGAAAUAAGUAUCGCCCAUGUGCGGUUCAGAAAGCAGUCUCAUUCCAGCGUGCCCCUGUUAAGGACCCUCUGGUGGCUACACCGCCGAUUCACAGGACAUGUACGGCAGUGCCAGAGCUGUAGGCCAUAUAGAGAGCAGCCCCGCACGGUCCCCGCGCCUGCCAAGGUCCCCCAGACUGGGCCAUCGGAGGGCCAACAGUGGGGGCGGGGGUGGUGCGGGGGGCAAGACGCUCUCCAUGGAGAACAUCCAGUCCCUCAAUGCUGCCUAUGCUACGUCAGGGCCCAUGUACCUGAGCGACCACGAGGGCGUGGGCUCCACUGCCACCUACCCCAAAGGCACUAUGACUCUGGGUCGUGCCACCAGCCGGGCCAUGUACGGGGGCCGCGUUACAGCCAUGGGCAGCAGUCCCAACAUUGCUUCAGUGGGGCUGCCCCAUGCUGACCUUCUGUCUUACAGUGACCUGGGCUCCCUCUCCAUGCUGCACCACCACCACCACCACCAGGGUGUGCCCUCCGCCCUGCUGAGGCAGGCGGUGAGGAGCAGUGGGGGGGAGCUGCUGGAGAUGCAGGCCCAGCUCAGGGAUAUGCAGAGGGAGAAUGAGCUGCUGCGCAGGGAGCUUGAUCUGAAGGACAGUAAGUUGGGCUCUUCCACCAACAGCAUCAAGAGCUUCUGGAGUCCCGAGCUGAAGAAGGAGAGAAUCAUGAGGAAAGAAGAGGCCGCGCGCACGUCCAUCCUUAAAGAGCAGAUGAGAGUCACUCAUGAGGAGAACCAGCUGCUGGAUGCCAGGAGAACCAAGCAUCUCCAGAUGACCAUUCAGGCCCUGCAGGACGAGCUGCGCACACAGCGAGACCUGAACCACCUGCUGCAGCAGGAGGGCGGUAACCGCUCCGGUUCCGAUCACUUCACCACCAUCGAGCUGACGGAAGAGAACUUCCGUCGCCUGCAGGCCGAGCAUGACAGGCAGGCCAAGGAGCUCUUCUUGCUGCGAAAGACGCUGGAGGAGAUGGAGCUGAGAAUCGAGACCCAGAAACAGACCCUGGGUGCCAGAGAUGAGUCCAUCAAGAAGCUGCUGGAGAUGCUGCAGAGUAAAGGGCUGCCCCCAGGGCCGGGCAGGGCAUCUGAGGAGGAAGAGCAGGAGAGAGCCAGGCGCAUUGCUGAGGCAGAGGCCCAGCUGGGACACCUGGAGGUCAUCCUGGACCAAAAGGAGAAAGAGAACAUCCAUCUAAGAGAGGAACUGCACAGAAGAAAUCAGCUGCAUCAAGAUCCGAGCAAAACCAAGGCCCUGCAGACCAUCAUAGAGAUGAAAGACACCAAAAUUGCCUCUCUGGAGCGCAACAUCCGAGAUCUAGAGGAUGAGAUACAAAUGCUGAAGGCGAACGGCUUACUGAACACGGAGGACAGGGAGGAGGAGAUCAAACAGAUGGAGGUCUACAAGAACCACUCUAAGUUCAUGAAGACCAAGAUUGACCAGCUGAAACAGGAGCUGUCAAAGAAGGAGUCGGAGCUGUUGGCUCUGCAGACGAAACUGGAGACCCUCAACAACCAGAACUCGGACUGUAAACAGCAUAUCGAGGUGCUCAAAGAGUCUCUCACUGCCAAGGAGCAACGUGCUGCCAUCCUGCAAACAGAGGUGGAUGCUCUACGUCUGCGUCUGGAGGAGAAAGAGUCCUUCCUGAACAAGAAAACCAAGCAGCUGCAGGACCUGACGGAGGAGAAGGGCACUCUCGCUGGAGAGAUCAGGGACAUGAAAGACAUGCUGGAGGUCAAAGAAAGGAAGAUCAAUGUCCUGCAGAAGAAGAUUGAGAACCUGCAGGAGCAGCUGCGGGACAAAGACAAGCAGCUGAGCAACCUGAAGGACAGGGUCAAGUCUCUGCAGACAGACUCCAGCAACACAGACACUGCCCUGGCCACCCUGGAGGAGGCGCUGUCAGAGAAGGAGAGGAUCAUAGAGCGUUUAAAGGACCAAAGAGAGAGAGAGGACAGAGAACGUCUAGAAGAAGUGGAGUCCUAUAAGAAGGAGAACAAGGACUUGAAGGAGAAGGUCAACAGCCUGCAGAUAGAAUUAACAGACAAAGAGUCUAGUCUCAUCGAUCUGAAGGAGCACGCUUCAUCCCUUGCAUCUUCCGGCCUCAAAAAGGAUUCAAAGCUCAAAUCACUGGAGAUCGCCAUCGAGCAGAAGAAAGAGGAGUGUAGUAAGUUGGAGACGCAGUUGCAGAAGCAAGCUGAGCAGCUAUUCAGUCACAUGAACAAUCCUAAAGCGCACGAGGUGGACCAUCAGUCGGGCUCCAGAGGGAACCCAGAGUACGUGGACCGAGUAAAGCUGCUAGAGAAGGAGGUGAACUACUACAAGGACGAGGUCAGCAAGUCUCAGACGGAGGUGGAGAGACUCCUGGACAUCCUGCGAGAGGUGGAGACCGAAAAGAAUGACAAGGACAAGAAGAUCGCUGAGUUGGAAAGUCUUGCUCCCAGACAAGGAGGCAAAGACCAGACUAAGAAAGGUCCAAACAUCAAACUGGGACCACAAGGGGACAAGAAAGGCUUAGGACAGGACCCUCGUAAGGACAGCUCCAUGGAUAGUGGCCACCACCUAAAGCUGGAGGAUUUGAUGAACACGCUGGAGAGGACGCGACAGGAGCUGGACGCCACCAAGCAGCGUCUCUCGUCCACACAGCAGUCUUUGCAGGAGAGGGACAGCCACCUCACCAACAUGAGACAAGAUCGCAGGAAACAGCUGGAGGAGAUCCUGGAUAUGAAACAACAGGCUCUUCUGGCUGCCAUCAGUGAGAAAGAUGCUAAUAUUGCACUGCUGGAACUUUCUGCCUCCAAUAAGAAGAAGACCCAGGAGGAGGUGCUGGCCCUCAAGAGGGAGCGGGACAAACUGAUGCACCAGCUCAAACAACACACACAAAGCCGAAUGAAACUGAUAGCUGACAACUAUGAAGAUGACCAAUAUCAUCCACAUGGUCCUCACCACCCCCAGGCUCAGCCCCCCCACGCUCAGCCGCAGCCGCAGCCGCAGCCACAGCCGCAGCCGCAGCCACAGCCCCAGUACCCCCACCCUCCCCAUGCCCAGCAGACUCCAUAUCCACACGCCCCGCAUCCGCAACAUCCUCAGCAUCCGCAGCACCCACAGGCUCCCCCACAGCACCCCCAUGCCCAGCAGCCACAACCACAGUACCCGCACCCUCCUCACCAACAACACCCUCAGCAGCACCCUCAGCAGCACCCUCAGCACCCUCAACCGCCUCCCCAGCACCAACAGCACCCACGUCCCCCUCAGCCCCAACACCCUCACCAACAGCACUCCCAGCACCAACCACAGCACCCACAUGGACAUGCCCCUCUGCAGCACCCUCACCCUCAGCACCCACAUGGUCCAACCCAACAAGGACCACACCCCCAGCAUCCGCACCCGCAGCACCCGCAGCACCCACAGCACCCGCAGCAUCCUCAACACCCACAACACCCGCAGCACCCACACCACGCCCAGCAUCCGCGCCACCCGUCGCCCCAUCAUCGUGGUGGACAAGCCCGAGGACCCCCACAUGCUGGUCACCGCCCCGCCCCGGACCAGGAUGAUGAGGAGGGCAUUUGGGCAUAACCUUUGCUGUGACAACCAAAGCUCUAAUGUUGUUUUGAGGGGGAAGAGGAGGGUGUAGGCGGGGAUGCAGGUCAUGUGGGGAGACUGACAGCUGGGCAGGUGACCUGCGACCUCUUUAUGUGAACAGGAGCAAAUGUCAUCCACUUCUUCCAUACAAGAUCACAGAUGCAGAACUGAACUGGAUAGAAAGAGGCGGAUGUUGACGCACUCGCUGUCAGAUUGUUUCUUGGACAUGGCAUGUGAUCAACAUGGCAGCCCCGCAUCAGAGGUCUCACAAAGGUCACCCCACCUGUCUGUCGCCUGCUGAACGGUCGACCUCUUAAGGCUGACAACGCCCUCUUGAUCCUCCCAGCAGAAAUCUCAUGACUGUCUGACAGCUUAAUAUUUAUUUUACUUCAUCCUUCCUUCCUUUUAAUUGGUUCAAGAUCAUGGUUGUCUUGUUGUCAUCUGCCUGACUGACUCCUCUGGCACUGGUUGGCUCCCCUGGCUGAUUCCGUCAUGGUUUCUCCCUGAUCCACUUUGUGACAUCUGACCCCUCUACCUGGCUACCAUGACCCACAGUGUGCACAGUCUCUUCUGUUGUUUCAAUCAUCUGAGUUACCUUUUUUUUUCACCAUUAUUCUUGCCCUGCCCACCAUCCCUUUCUAGAUAACCUCAUGUUCAGCAUGUCCAAAAAUGACAUUGUGUCCCUUCACUUGCUUUUUUCCUCAAACCUGAGGAUAGCAUGUUUCAUUUCUUGUUGGCAAAAGGAAGAGCUUUGAGCUGACUGACAGUCGGCCUUUGGCCUGGCUUGCAGCGUUGAGGGGUUUCCUUGGCUGCAUGAGCAGGGCUCUCCAGUUCUUGGGCUUGUUUUAGCCUUAACGCUGUGGUUGCCAUUGAUGUUUCUUUCCAUGUUACCUCAUUUUAAUCAGAAGUAGUAUAAAAAAAAUUAAUCUAUGCAGAUGUCAACAUAGAGUUAAUGCAUUUUUAUUCCCCCAACCGUGCUCAAGUUUAUCAAUCAAAGUGUAAUUAACCAUCCAAUCUGAAUGGCCAAGAGAGCGGUCAGAAAAUAUUCAUCAGAGUAUUUUGAGUUUCUGAGGCUAUGCACCUCCUCUGUGUUGCAGGAAUUUUUACUAAUGGUGCUUCUGUUUGGUGCUCAAACUAAAUGGUGUCAGAAAACCUCAUUGAGAGCAUCUUUUAGUCCUUUUACAGUGGAGGGACUCGAUCCCACAACGGACUUCAAAAACAACUGUAAAAGUCUUUGUACAUACGAUCUGACAAUGGGGGCUUUGAGAGCAACAAUCACUUUAAGACCCACACAGAGGAGAUCGCUAAUAUGGGAAACAAUUAUAGAAUAUGAUGUGGAGUCAUAGUCCAAUAGAUGUUUUCCCUGGAGGUCUAUUUGUACCAUUGACGCCCCUGCCUCUGACCUACAGUAAGAACCUGCUUCCCUCUCCCCUCGUACUCUUCCACCACUAGUCUGUGUGACCUCCUCAAACAUAGUGACUUGUUUACUCCUUCUCAACACGGUGGCCUGUGCCUCAUGAAAACUGUACACAUAUAUGAUAGAUAUGCAUAUAUUAUACAUAUAGAGAGAAAUCUAUAGAUUGUGUCUAUACGUGGUCAGAAAAUCGCUACAAACUGACGAGAUUACUAUGUUUUAUUUCUUCAUGGUUAUUUUUCUAACUGGCUGGAGGUCAGAGAGCUGUCUUAUGUAGUUUCGAGUUGUCUGAUUCUUUCUUUCUUUUCUUAAUUUCUUCUUUGAGAAAACCCCUCAGCAGCAAGUAACAUUCCCUGUCUGAAAAUACAGGACAGCCCAAAAGAAAAAAAGAGCUUUAAAGCAGUUUAUGAGACAUAGAGAAGUAUAUCCAAAUCUAUUUAGAAGUCUAGUAAACAUGACAUUGUUACAUUCCUUUCUAAAUGUGAAAAAGACUCAGUUGGAGACCACCUGCCAUGUGGUGACAACUAAGAACAAAAUAAACAGAAUUUUGCAGCUCACAUAAGUAGCAAUGAGAUUAUGUCUGCUGCGCUCAGCCGACAGAAAGUUGCACUUGUGAGUGAGGACUAUCUAAGUGGAGGUUUGAGUGACUCUGUCGGACACAUUUCUUUUGCGUGUUUGUCGUUGUCGUCUUGUAAACAGAAGUGGUGACAUACUGUAUGUGACCGUGAUUCAAGCUGAGUGAAGUAGAAAAACCAACACACAUUGUUACACUAUAGUGGAAAAUUGAAUUAGACUGUUACUAUCCCCACUUCCUCUCCUUCCUCUCAUGGUGCCUGUGUUUCUCCCACUAUAUGGCCAAGUGUUGAUUGUUGUAUAUAAAUGUCUUCUCAUCUCCCCAACUUCCACAAACCGAGGGGAUACAUGCAUCACCUUUCCACGUCUCUGCUUCCACCAUGAACCUUUACAGCUCCUGUCACUGACCAAGAAUCAACAGAUGGUGUGAAAUGUUGGGUGUUUGUGUUUACGAAUGUGAAGAGAUAGAUUUGGAUUAUUUAUUUAUUUAUUUAUGUUUGGAAGAGAAGGGACGACAAUGCAAACAAGACAGAGGAGCGAAAAUCCUCUCACUUCACCAUCAGGGGGGCGUAGUACAAAUCCUCCAUUUUCAGGUCCUUAUCUACUGAAUACUUGAAGUAGGGUGUUCUCCUACCAUGAAAUAGCGUAUAUGAUUUACAUGGUAGACAACAUGAAACAUUUCAAUUGUGCCCAUGCAUAUUGAUUUUUACAUAAUGUGCCAACUGAAAGUGACGAUGUAAGGAUAAUCUCCUGUUCUCUAUGCAGAGCGAUUUCUGAACUGUUGUGUCAAAAAGGUUUUCAGAGGAACGAGGGCUCAGAGGCUGGGGAUGGUUUCCUGGGCUUAGACUUCAAACUAAUCCUGGUCGUGAAUGAGUGACAUCGCACUCAGUGUGAGGCUGAGUCCAAAAGUUUGCAUCUGUGCCUAGAAGCAGCCAUGUGGAGAGACGGAGAGUUGACAGGCCUGUAGAUUCACCAGUAAUUUUCAAAAGGCCUUGUAAAAAAAGUAUGAUGAGCCUAACAUACAUUUUCACUUUAUUGUUGUAAACAGGUUGUUUUUCUUUUAUUGUAUGUCGCUAAAAACUUUGAAUUAAACAAAUCACUGUGACCAAUGCCAGAAACAUUUUUGUUUGACAGAACAAAUAUUGUGUUUACUUUUUUUAUUAUUCAUUUUUGUAUUUAAGUUAGCUUUAUUUAUUUAUUGAAUAUGCCAGUUUGAGACUGUACUAUUUGUAUAAGUAAAUGUUUGAUCUGUACAGUAAAGACCUAGGAACAAGUUAAAUGUGAGUGUCCAGCAUGCUGAAUGAUUACUUGUGUGAACGUGAGCUAAUCUCCCAUGAAGCAUCAUCCCUCAUACAUUACUUGCAUCUGCAUCGUGCAUUGUGACGGUGUGAUGUUGUGUUUGAGAGUGAUGUGUGUCUCACUUACUGUGUCCCCUUAGUAGACAGCCUGUGCAGUUCUGUGAGAGUGCAGCAUGUUUUCGGGGUUGCUGGUGUAAAUGUAUUCACAAAAGAGAAAGAGUGAGUGAGUGAGUGAGUGAGUUAGUGUGUGAGUGUGUGUGUGUGUGUGUGUGUGUGUGUGCGCACAACUGCAUUUGUUUUCUGGGUGUGUCGUGAAUGCACAAGAGAGAAAUAUAUUUAAAAGAAGGAACAAAACUUAAUCAGAGGAAGUCCCUAGAGGAAAAAAACAAAGCAAGACUGAGUAAAAGUUUUGAAUGAAGCAUGGAUACUCUGUAUUGUUUCCUGUUUUUUUAAACCUAGGAGGCUGUCCUCAGUGCCCCAGUUUGCUAUUGUAUGUGCUGUAUCAGAAUAUUACUAUUGAGUGUUGGCCAGCUUGUUUAUAUCCAUCGAAUAAAGGUGACUUUCUUUCUGUC